UGGCAUUGGAGAGCAACAUGACAUGGGGA
rnacentral:piRNA from 1 species